CCUACGGGAGGCAGCAGUGAGGAAUAUUGGACAAUGGGCGCAAGCCUGAUCCAGCCAUGCCGCGUGCAGGAAGACGGUCCUAUGGAUUGUAAACUGCUUUUGUACAGGAAGAAACACUCCCUCGUGAGGGAGCUUGACGGUACUGUAAGAAUAAGGAUCGGCUAACUCCGUGCCAGCAGCCGCGGUAAUACGGAGGAUCCAAGCGUUAUCCGGAAUCAUUGGGUUUAAAGGGUCCGUAGGCGGUUUAAUAAGUCAGUGGUGAAAUCUGGUCGCUCAACGAUCAAACGGCCAUUGAUACUGUUAGACUUGAAUUAUUAGGAAGUAACUAGAAUAUGUAGUGUAGCGGUGAAAUGCUUAGAUAUUACAUGGAAUACCAAUUGCGAAGGCAGGUUACUACUAAUGGAUUGACGCUGAUGGACGAAAGCGUGGGGAGCGAACAGGAUUAGAUACCCUGGUAGUCCACGCCGUAAACGAUGGAUACUAGCUGUUGGGCGCAAGUUCAGUGGCUAAGCGAAAGUGAUAAGUAUCCCACCUGGGGAGUACGUUCGCAAGAAUGAAACUCAAAGUNAAGUUGACGCGNGAGAGNGACGACGGACGACGACGGAGGAGGAGG
rnacentral:rRNA from 1 species